GACGAACGCUGGCGGCGUGCUUAACACAUGCAAGUCGAACGGAAAGGCCCUGCUCUUGUUGGGUGCUCGAUUGGCGAACGGGGGAGUAACACGUGAGUAACCUGCCCUUGACUUUGGGAGAACUUCAGGAAACUGGGGCUAAUACCGGGUAGGAGCUCCUGCUGCAUGGUGUGGGUUGGAAAGUGUCGGCGGUAGGGUAUGGACUCGCGGGUUAUCAGCUUGUUGGUCGGGUAGUUGCUUACCAAGGCUUUGACGGGUAGCCGGCCUGAGAGGGUGACCGGCCACAUUGGGCCUGAGAUACGGCGCAGAAUCCUACGGGCGGCAGCAGUGGGGAAUAUUGCACAAUGGGCGGAAGCCUGAUGCAGAAACGCCGCGUGCGGGAUGACGGCCUUCGGGUUGUAAACCGCUUUCGCAUGUGACGAAGCGUGAGUGACGGUAAUGGGUAAAGAAGCACCGGCUAACUACGUG
rnacentral:rRNA from 1 species